rnacentral:lncRNA from 1 species
GGUGGUGGCGUUCUCCGUAAUCAUCACCAAACAAAGACUCUUGCUUCCAUAUUACUGCACGAUAUCAGAAGGACUUUCUCGUCCUUAUGUGCUGACGAAAAGGGUUUGCUAUGGAGAGGAAUAAAAAGACAUGGGGUUUCUUCUUGAUAGUAACCACACAAUAGACUUCUUAGAAGGACGGACGAGAAGGAUGGAUGCGAUGACACUG